rnacentral:rRNA from 1 species
UACGUAGGGUGCAAGCGUUAAUCGGAAUUACUGGGCGUAAAGCGUGCGCAGGCGGUUUUGUAAGUCUGUCGUGAAAUCCCCGGGCUCAACCUGGGAAUGGCGAUGGAGACUGCAGGGCUAGAGUUUGGCAGAGGGGGGUAGAAUUCCACGUGUAGCAGUGAAAUGCGUAGAGAUGUGGAGGAACACCGAUGGCGAAGGCAGCCCCCUGGGUCAAAACUGACGCUCAUGCACGAAAGCGUGGGGAGCAAACAGG